rnacentral:misc_RNA from 1 species
ACGAAACUUCAGUCGGCUUUUGUUAUCUGUGCUGGUGGCAUCACAUGUGCACGUUAACAAGUCGGCAUAUCCACACACCUGUGCACCGCAUGACUCCGAGUGGCCCUUUGUGUGCCGACAGGCCUGGCAACUCGAGAGUAUUUUUUAACACACUCUUGAAUGUAAUGGAAUGUCUACUGUGCAUAAUGUACAAAAGAAA